rnacentral:rRNA from 1 species
CAGAAACUCAAAGGAAGUUGACGGGGCCCGCACAAGCGGAGGAGCAUGUGGUUUAAUUCGAUGAUACGCGAGGAACCUUACCUGGGCUCGAACGUAAGAUGACUGUAGGUGAAAGCUUACAUCUCUUCGGAGCAUUUUACGAGGUGCUGCAUGGUUGUCGUCAGCUCGUGCCGUGAGGUGUCGGGUUAAGUCCCAUAACGAGCGCAACCCUACCUUUAGUUGCCAUCAGGUAAUGCUGGGGACUCUAAAGGAACUGCCUACGCAAGUAGUGAGGAAGCGGGGAUGACGUCAAAUCAGCACGGCCCUUACGUCCAGGGCUACACACGUGCUACAAUGGCCGAUACAGAGGGCAGCUACCUGGUGACAGGAUGCAAAUCUCCAAAGUCGGUCUCAGUUCGGAUCGGAGUCUGCAACCCGACUCCGUGAAGUUGGAUUCGCUAGUAAUCGCGCAUCAGCCAUGGCGCGGUGAAUACGUUCCCGGGCCUU